AGCGAACGCUGGCGGCAGGCCUAACACAUGCAAGUCGAACGAACCCUUCGGGGUUAGUGGCGGACGGGUGAGUAACACGUGGGAACGUCCCUUUAGGUUCGGAAUCACUCAGGGAAACUUGUGCUAAUACCGAAUGUGCCCUUCGGGGGAAAGAUUUAUCGCCUUUAGAGCGGCCCGCGUCUGAUUAGCUAGUUGGUGAGGUAAUGGCUCACCAAGGCUACGAUCAUUAGCUGGUCUGAGAGGAUGACCAGCCACAUUGGGCCUGAGACACGGCCCAAACUCCUACGGGAGGCAGCAGUGGGAAAUCUUGCGCAAUGGGCGAAAGCCUGACGCAGCCAUGCAGCGUGGAUGAUGAAGGUCUUAGGAUUGUAAAAUCCUUUCACCGGUGAAGAUAAUGACUGUAGCCGGAGAAGAAGCCCCGGCUAACUUCGUGCCAGCCGCCGCUGUAAUAC
rnacentral:rRNA from 1 species